rnacentral:rRNA from 1 species
UACGUAGGCGGAAAAUUAAGUCAGUGGUGAAAUCCCGCAGCUCAACUGUGGAACUGUCAUUGAUACUGGUUUUCUUGAAUUUAGUUGAGGUAGGCGGAAUGUGUAAUGUAGCAGUGAAAUGCUUAGAUAUUACACAGAACACCGAUUGCGAAGGCAGCUUACUAAACUAUGAUUGACGCUGAGGUACGAAAGCGUGGGGAGCGAACAGGAUUAGAUACCCUGGUAGUCC